GUAGGUGGCAAGCGUUAUCCGGAAUUAUUGGGCGUAAAGCGCGCGCAGGCGGUUUCUUAAGUCUGAUGUGAAAGCCCACGGCUCAACCGUGGAGGGUCAUUGGAAACUGGGGAACUUGAGUGCAGAAGAGAAAAGCGGAAUUCCACGUGUAGCGGUGAAAUGCGUAGAGAUGUGGAGGAACACCAGUGGCGAAGGCGGCUUUUUGGUCUGUAACUGACGCUGAGGCGCGAAAGCGUGGGGAGCAAACAGGGAUUAGAUACCCUGGUAGUCCACGCCGUAAACGAUGAGUGCUAAGUGUUAGAGGGUUUUCCGCCCCUUUAGUGCUGCAGCUAACGCAUUAAGCACUCCGCCUGGGAGUACGGUCGCAAGACUG
rnacentral:rRNA from 1 species